rnacentral:lncRNA from 1 species
CAUUUUUUAUUUGUUUGUUCCUGUGAAAAUUUAACGAAGAAGAAAAGGAGAAGCCUCACAAAUAAGACUGGAAAAUGAAUUCAAAGAAAGAAAGAAAAAAACUUGUAAAAAUAGUUAAAAGAAUUGGCCAUAGCAGUUUCUUCAAUAAAUUCUUCUUCUUCUUCUUCUUCUUCUUCUUCAUUUUGUCUUCAAUUGGCCAUGGAAAAUGAUAAUGGCGUGGAGCUUGUUACUCCUAAGUAGCAGACAACAAAGAAACAUGAUCAAAUCCAAUUGCUUCUGAAACCUGACAGAACAACAGUGCCAAUCUUUAGGACAUAGAGUUAUGUGAUUCAUUCCAAAUGUUAAAAUCUUUAUACCAAGAACCCUAGAAACUUCCUGUCUCAUCAUCUGCAGUACACUAGCAUCAGCGUGUCUGUCUAUAUAUAUAUACACUUAGACGUCAUCACAAUCUAAGAUCCUGACAAUGUAUGGAGAAAAAGGAAAUAAUACCUAUCAAGAAUUUUUCAUCAGAUUUUUAAGAAAAGCAAAAUCUUCCUUUCAAAUCUUCUAUAAACAGAAACACAAUCAUAAUCAUCAUGAUUCAUAUAAGAAUACUUGAUUCAUGUUGAGAAAAUGCUUUUAAUCAAAUAACAGAGAACAAAAAAACUGAUGAAAGAGAUUUGAGAGAGUGUGACGAAUAGGAAGAUCUUCACAGAAAAGAAUAAUAACUACUUCUCUAAUUACAUUGGGUUUAAGUGGUUUACACUAUUUGAACUUGUAAUGGUGGUUCCUAUUUUUGGGGGAUUGUAACAAUCACAUUUGCUACUUUUUAAUAGUUAUGUGUUUAUUCUAUAAUAAUAUUGUAGUUUUACAAAUUUUGUUCUCGAUAUAAAUUAUUUUUUUACUAGCUCAAAUAUUUUAACUGAUGCAAAUUAAAAUAAAAUAACAUCAUUUUAUUAAAUUGAUGUUAAAGAAAAGGAUUAUUAUAAAUUUUUGUUAGCAUCAGUUUUCUAAUUGAUCUAAAUUAUGUAUCAUGUUAAUAACUGAUGUUAACUAAAAUAAUAAAUGCAUCAGUUAUUUAAUCGAUAUAAAUUUAUAUGAUAGCAUCAAUUUCAUUUAAGUGAUACAAAUUAACAAAAAAAAAAUAUCAUUUUUCUGAAAUGAUGUUAAAUUAAUUAAUAAAACAUCAGUUAUUAUAAUUGAUUUAAAAAUAGGUAUAUUCACAUCAUUUGUAAAUAAGUAAUUUAAAAUAGCAUCAUUUAUUUUUGUGAUAUAAUUUAUGUGAUGUAAUUCACACUUUUUUUUGUAGUGCAUAUAACAAUAUAUACGGAUUUAAUACUUCUCCUCAAAAACAAACAGGUGUCAUUUUUUAAGAAUUAAUACUAACUUUCUGUGAAUCCAAACUGCAGAUAUUUUUUUACAAAGAAAAAGAGUUAUGGCACAAAUUUCAAAUGACAAUACCAUAUUUCAAUGAGAAAAUUCGAAGUUUUACUUAUAGUGUUAAAAUGUAUAAACCGGUCCGCCAAACAGAACAAGAAUCGAAAUAUAAAUAGCAUAGAAGAUUCGCAUAAUAUUAAAACCAUUUACUAGCUAGAAGAUCAAUGAUGCAAUGUAAUAAACUGAACAGUGAACACUUAUCUACAACUGGCUUACCUUUUAGAAAUUGUAGCUCUGAUCACUUGGUCUUGCAAAUAUGUAAACUACAUGCCAAUUCAAGUUUAGUAACUCACACAACAAACAAACAAACAAAGGAUCAAUUGUUAGAUAUUAAAAUUUCAUGCUCACAAUCAGUUUUCCAGCGAAAACUAUAUAAUAAUCCAAUUAAUAAAGUUAAACAUCGAGGAUGAACAGAACAAAAAAAUCUUCAGUUCCAAAUUAUGCAAAACGGAUUAAAACCAUUCUUAGAAUACUUUCCUCCGUCUUUAUAAAAAAAACGCAAAACAUAUUUAUUUUUACUCUGCAUGCAACUGUAUAAAUCAUAGAUAGAACAUAAAAUCAUAUAUGCGUAAGAAAGAUCGGAUAAACUAAAGGAGCAGAAACUUUUUUUAAAAAAGGAGACAGAAACUUAAAAUAUGAAUGGAGUUUGUUGAAGCUAAAUUGCGAAAUCUCCAGCUCGGACUUGAUAUACAUUCAUCUGAGCAUGACCAAUGUCUAAGUACAUACCUACAUGCAUAAAUAUAUAUACAGGCCUGAAUCAUUAGUUUUCGAGAUAUAUAUAUAUAAAUGUAUGGAAAACAACAGGCGUGCAUGAAUCUAUUUCUGUAUCAACGGUGCAAAGUGUACAAGUUGAUCGAAAUCUGUUUGUAU